GGCGGACGGGUGAGUAACGCGUGAGCAACCUGCCCUGUACAGGGGGAUAGCCACUGGAAACGGUGAUUAAUACCCCAUAAACCCACAAGACCGCAUGGUCAAAUGGGCAAAGUUCCAACGGUACAGGAUGGGCCCGCGUCCAAUUAGCUAGUUGGUGGUGUAACGGACCACCAAGGCGACGAUUGGUAGCCGAACUGAGAGGUUGAUCGGCCACAUUGGGACUGAGAUACGGCCCAGACUCCUACGGGAGGCAGCAGUGGGGAAUAUUGCGCAAUGGGGGAAACCCUGACGCAGCAACGCCGCGUGAAGGAUGAAGGUUUUCGGAUCGUAAACUUCUUUGAUGGGAAGAAGAAGUGACGGUACCUUAGGAGGAAGCCCCGGCUAACUACGUGCCAGCAGCCGCGGUAAUACGUAGGGGGCAAGCGUUAUCCGGAAUCACUGGGCGUAAAGGGUGCGUAGGCGGCUGAUCAAGCCAGGGGUGAAAGGCAAUAGCUUAACCUCGGAGCUGCAUCUGAAACUGUGUUUCUUGAGUGUCGGAGAGGAAAGUGGAAUUCCCAGUGUAGCGGUGAAAUGCGUAGAUAUUGGGAGGAACACCAGUGGCGAAGGCGACUUUCUGGACGAUAACUGACGCUGAGGCGCGAAAGCGUGGGGAGCAAACAGGAUUAGAUACCCUGGUAGUCCACGCCGUAAACGAUGGAUACUAGGUGUGGGAGGUAUCGACCCCUUCCGUGCCGCAGUUAACACAAUAAGUAUCCCACCUGGGGAGUACGGCCGCAAGGUUGAAACUCAAAGGAAUUGACGGGGGCCCGCACAAGCAGUGGAGUAUGUGGUUUAAUUCGAAGCAACGCGAAGAACCUUACCAGGGCUUGACAUCCCGAUCGUAUAUGCAAGAGAUUGUAUAGUCCUUCGGGACACCUGUGCAGGUGGUGCAUGGUUGUCGUCAGCUCGUGUCGUGAGAUGUUGGGUUAAGUCCCGCAACGAGCGCAACCCUUGUCUUUAGUUACCAUCAUUCAGUUGGGGACUCUAGAGAGACUGCCGGUGAUAAACCGGAGGAAGGUGGGGAUGACGUCAAAUCAUCAUGCCCCUUAUGGCCUGGGCUACAAACGUACUACAAUGGCGUAAACAAAGGGGAGCAAUGCCGCGAGGUGGAGCAAAUCCCAAAAAUACGUCCCAGUUCAGAUUGCAGGCUGCAACUCGCCUGCAUGAAGUUGGAAUUGCUAGUAAUCGCGGAUCAGA
rnacentral:rRNA from 1 species